UGUAAAAGUAAAAGGAAUUGUGCAUGUGGAGGGGAGUGGUGCUGGGGACUCGCCAGGGCCUCAUGAUGCUGGUAGGUGUUCACCACUGAGCCACACCCCACCUGGGAAUCACCUUUUGUGGUACUUUGUAGUUGUUCCCCAACCACUAGAACGUGAGCCUCAGACAGCAGAAUUGACUUUCUGUUGACAAAUAAUGAUUGUGUGUUCCGUGGAGAAGAUGGUUGGUUGUGCCUGUGAUAAAACAGAACAUCUCAGCAGCCCUCAGCGUCUAAUGAUCACCUCUGAAUUAGAGGAGGUGAUUGGUGACCUUCGGUGCAUCUGCUCACUGUGUCCCUGAUGAUGGACAUGGAUGCCUUGCUCUGAUGUGUAUGUGAUGUCUGCCUGCAUGAAGCUAUUGAGUGCUGCUCUUGCUGUGGGGCAGGCACAUGGUGAACAAGCAUGUUUGCACUCCUAUUUCUAUUUUUUUUUUU
rnacentral:lncRNA from 1 species